CAAAAUCUGCAUUAGCAUGUCACAUUAGCAUAAGUCAUCUCUUCGGACAGAGACCAGGCUCUCAAAGCUAACAAGAGCGUUGUCAAAACCUAGUACCUGGUAAGAGAAGGCUGGCAAAUGAUGGACUCAUAAUCAAAUUCAUGCCCACCUCCAGAAUACCACGAUCGCAAGUGUGGCCUAGAUAUAUACACAUUGAUUAUCUUGUACGAAAGAUAUUUGCACAAUCCUCCGGUUCUUGUGCAUGAACACAAAUUGUUCCUGAAGCCCAAAGAGAAGGAAAUAAGCCAGAGCAAGCAAGCCAGGGUUCAGUCAUCAGUACACGUCUACCUGUGAUAACUUGAGUGGAGCACGUUGGUCUUUGCGGUGAGACAUCUGAACCCUCCCUUCGGCGCCACGGAUC